CUGCUGCCUUCCGUAGGAGUCUGGGCCGUGUCUCAGUCCCAAUGUGGCCGGCCAACCUCUCAGUCCGGCUACUGAUCGUCGCCUUGGUGGGCCGUUACCCCGCCAACCAGCUAAUCAGACGCGAGUCCAUCUCAGAGCGAUAAAUCUUUGAUGUCCAGAACCAUGCGAUUCAGACAUUUCAUGCGGUAUUAGCACAUCUUUCGAUGUGUUAUUCCCCUCUCCAAGGCAGGUUACUCACG
rnacentral:rRNA from 1 species